rnacentral:rRNA from 1 species
UAGAGUUUGAUCAUGGCUCAGGAUGAACGCUAGCGGCAGGCUUAACACAUGCAAGUCGAGGGGCAUCGGGAGGGAAGCUUGCUUUCCUUGCCGGCGACCGGCGCACGGGUGAGUAACACGUAUGCAACCUGCCCUCUUCAGGGGGACAACCUUCCGAAGGGAGGCUAAUCCCGCGUAUAUCGGUUUCGGGCAUCCGAGAUCGAGGAAAGAUUCAUCGGAAGAGGAUGGGCAUGCGGCGCAUUAGCUUGACGGCGGGGUAACGGCCCACCGUGGCGACGAUGCGUAGGGGUUCUGAGAGGAAGGUCCCCCACACUGGUACUGAGACACGGACCAGACUCCUACGGGAGGCAGCAGUGAGGAAUAUUGGUCAAUGGGAGAGAUCCUGAACCAGCCAAGCCGCGUGAGGGAAGACGGCCCUAUGGGUUGUAAACCUCUUUUGUCGGAGAACAAAACCCGGGACGUGUCCCGGACUGCGUGUAUCCGAAGAAAAAGCAUCGGCUAACUCCGUGCCAGCAGCCGCGGUAAUACGGAGGAUGCGAGCGUUAUCCGGAUUUAUUGGGUUUAAAGGGUGCGUAGGCGGUCCGUUAAGUCAGCGGUAAAAUUGCGGGGCUCAACCCCGUCGAGCCGUUGAAACUGGCAGACUUGAGUUGGCGAGAAGUACGCGGAAUGCGCGGUGUAGCGGUGAAAUGCAUAGAUAUCGCGCAGAACUCCGAUUGCGAAGGCAGCGUACCGGCGCCACACUGACGCUGAGGCACGAAAGCGUGGGGAUCGAACAGGAUUAGAUACCCUGGUA